UCGGCGGGGCUGGGGGAGUGCUGAGGGGAGCCUGUACCGAGCCGCAGCGUGCGGCGGACAGCGCCGGGCUGCCCGCGUCACCCCCUGCGCGGGCUCCCGGGAGGUGAUGACGAGCAGGUUGCGGCCGGUGUUGGUGAUCGGAGGCGGCCACUCAAGUGCGCGCGCGCCCGCCCCUCGCCGCUCCCGAGCGGCGGGUAACGAGGCGGCGCGGGGAGCCGCUGAGAGAAGUUAGCCUUGGGGGUUAUAGCGAAGCCGGAAUAACCUUGUUGAAAUCCUGUUUUCAGAGACUCGCUCUAAGCCCUCCGCGUACAAGGAAGCGGAAUAGCUCUAUUAUCGUUAGCGUUUAUAACUCCCCCGGCCUUCCUCCCCGCCGCCCCCGCCUCAGGUGCGCGCUCGCGCCGGUUCCCGCCCCUCAGGAGUUUCUAGACUGCAGCAAAAUACAGGUGACUUGACAGUGAAAAUUUUUGUUGUCUCCGAAAAUAACAUUUUAUGAGCUACAGUUUUAUCAGUGCUGCGUGCUCUUACUUCAGCACAUUAUCCAUCUUAUGUGGAGCUGCAGGUUCAGAUUUCCUGCUUAGAGAUCAGCACUCUGAAGGCAGAUAAAUGAAAAUGGUCCCUUGAAAAGUUGAGUUUCCAAGCUAAAAUAUACCAAAUGCUUUGGAUUUUUUUGCUGGCCAUGAUUUGGUGUGAUUUCAAGGAGAAAUAAAAUUAUGAAUGUUGUAACUAUUGGGACCAUAGCUAAGAUCCCACUAUGCUGAAGUAUUUAAAUUCCAGCUGUCUAGCAAGCUAGAAGAUAAGAAGACAAUAAUCUGCCUGUCUUUGAAGCGUGAAGAUGAUGUGAAAUCUCUUGUUUUGGAGAAUCAAAAAGCAGUGGAACAAGUGGCUGUGGCCUUUUCCUCCCCGUGCCAAGCUGCUCCCAGGCCGGAGGGCUCCUCGCCUCGUGGCACAGGCAUCCUCUCACCGAGGGACUCCUGCAGUUCCAUGGCCCUUGGCAGCUCGUGCUGUGCUGCACACCUGGCAGGUGGCUCUUGGUUUAGUGUCCUUGAAGCUGUGUCACGCUGGGGACCCCCCCUGGGUCCUGUAGUGCUCCGGUACCUCUCGGUGGCUCUCGCUCACUGCGAGGCCACCACCUGCUGCAGGGUCCCUCCGUGCUGCAAAGCGCUCAUGGGGAGAGCAGCCGGGGCAGGCGGCGCUGGGAAUAAAGAACCGGCCAUUUCCGAAUGAGUCUGUGCGUCAGGACCUGGCAUCGGGCUCACGGAGCCAGAGUCACUCUGCAGAGAGCCCAGACCGCUGCCAUCAAAAUGGAGCCAGAACCUGCUGCUGCUUCCCACACAAUCCAGUGCCACCAGUGUCCCUUCCCUGUCACAGGCACACAGGAAGGAAUGAAGGACCUGCUGAAGGUGGAUCUUGAUCGGGGUGGGACAAGUGAGGAUGUGAGCUGAAGGACAUGAGGCUGCAAAGCACCAGUAAGAGAAGAUAACCAUGAAAUCUCUGGAGAUGGGAAUGCCACAGAUUCAGGGCCUUGUUCCUGUAGCUGCUCCAAGCCAGACUGCUCAAAGUGAGUGAACCUUUGGCAAGAAUCUCUCCCAGGCUUAAAGGAAUGAGAUUACAGGAAUGUUUCUUGCACAUUUCUGAGAAUAUCUUGCAAAAAAUUACUUGCUUUAAUAAUUAUUGUUUUCACAGUGAAAUAUUACUUAUAGUAUUAAUAUUGAUAAUUUGUGCUUUGCAGCAUGUAAUGAAUA